rnacentral:rRNA from 1 species
AGAGUUUGAUCCUGGCUCAGGACGAACGCUGGCGGCGUGCCUAAUACAUGCAAGUAGAACGCUGAAGAGAGGAGCUUGCUCUUCUUGGAUGAGUUGCGAACGGGUGAGUAACGCGUAGGUAACCUGCCUUGUAGCGGGGGAUAACUAUUGGAAACGAUAGCUAAUACCGCAUAACAAUGGAUGACACAUGUCAUUUAUUUGAAAGGGGCAAUUGUUCCACUACAAGAUGGACCUGCGUUGUAUUAGCUAGUAGGUGAGGUAAUGGCUCACCUAGGCGACGAUACAUAGCCGACCUGAGAGGGUGAUCGGCCACACUGGGACUGAGACACGGCCCAGACUCCUACGGGAGGCAGCAGUAGGGAAUCUUCGGCAAUGGGGGCAACCCUGACCGAGCAACGCCGCGUGAGUGAAGAAGGUUUUCGGAUCGUAAAGCUCUGUUGUAAGUCAAGAACGGGUGUGAGAGUGGAAAGUUCACACUGUGACGGUAGCUUACCAGAAAGGGACGGCUAACUACGUGCCAGCAGCCGCGGUAAUACGUAGGUCCCGAGCGUUGUCCGGAUUUAUUGGGCGUAAAGCGAGCGCAGGCGGUUUGAUAAGUCUGAAGUUAAAGGCUGUGGCUCAACCAUAGUUCGCUUUGGAAACUGUCAAACUUGAGUGCAGAAGGGGAGAGUGGAAUUCCAUGUGUAGCGGUGAAAUGCGUAGAUAUAUGGAGGAACACCGGUGGCGAAAGCGGCUCUCUGGUCUGUAACUGACGCUGAGGCUCGAAAGCGUGGGGAGCGAACAGGAUUAGAUACCCUGGUAGUCCACGCCGUAAACGAUGAGUGCUAGGUGUUGGAUCCUUUCCGGGAUUCAGUGCCGCAGCUAACGCAUUAAGCACUCCGCCUGGGGAGUACGACCGCAAGGUUGAAACUCAAAGGAAUUGACGGGGGCCCGCACAAGCGGUGGAGCAUGUGGUUUAAUUCGAAGCAACGCGAAGAACCUUACCAGGUCUUGACAUCCCGAUGCUAUUUCUAGAGAUAGAAAGUUACUUCGGUACAUCGGUGACAGGUGGUGCAUGGUUGUCGUCAGCUCGUGUCGUGAGAUGUUGGGUUAAGUCCCGCAACGAGCGCAACCCCUAUUGUUAGUUGCCAUCAUUCAGUUGGGCACUCUAGCGAGACUGCCGGUAAUAAACCGGAGGAAGGUGGGGAUGACGUCAAAUCAUCAUGCCCCUUAUGACCUGGGCUACACACGUGCUACAAUGGUUGGUACAACGAGUUGCGAGUCGGUGACGGCGAGCUAAUCUCUUAAAGCCAAUCCCAGUUCGGAUUGUAGGCUGCAACUCGCCUACAUGAAGUCGGAAUCGCUAGUAAUCGCGGAUCAGCACGCCGCGGUGAAUACGUUCCCGGGCCUUGUACACACCGCCCGUCACACCACGAGAGUUUGUAACACCCGAAGUCGGUGAGGUAACCUUUUGGAGCCAGCCGCCUAAGGUGGGACAGAUGAUUGGGGUGAAGUCGUAACAAGGUA